UUUCUCAGAGGUGCUGUGGGGCCCCUGAAGUGAGACACGUAAUCGCCCUGCCAUCGGGAAAGGGCU
rnacentral:lncRNA from 1 species